GGGGGGCCGGGGAUUGCUCCAUCUGGGAGCUACGUUGCAGAUGUAAAAUGUGCUUUUGAGGGCUAUGGGGGGCUUUCCUGAACUAAUGUAUUUCCUAAACAAAGAUAAAUAGAUUCUCUGCCGUGUGCAGGGGAAACCUGCUGAUACUAUCACAGUGGACCUUCGCUCUGUUGCUCUGGGGCCGCUGUACGCUGCGAAAUCAUUUUGAGGGGCACGUGCUAAGUGCCAUAAAGCCAGGGUUUGAAAGAAGCCAUUACCCCAGGGGCAGCAUUAACCAUUCGUGGUCGGGCACGAGUGUUUGAUUCCCGGGUGUUUGCGUCCCUGCCGAAUCGUACAGCAGGAGCCGCCGUGUUUCCACCCUGCCCAGCUGGACGCACACCCCCGUGCCGGGAGCGGGGGCACGGCCAGUCCUCGAAUCUGGAGGGCAGACGACAAGGUGCUGCCCUUUGCUACUAACCUAUCGCUGCUUUACUGAUAAAACUCCUGCAGCAAGUUUGAGCCUUAAAUACUGUUUCUCUGGCACGAUAAUCAACAGGAAAUGAGUGUGGAUGGAGGCAGCCCCUCAGCCCUCCAGUGAUGCCGUGCUUCAGCGCCUCCUGCUCCCCAGCUGACGAAGCCAAUGGAUUUUUUGCUUUAGCAGCAAUUUUCCCUCCUUUCCCCUCUCCCCUGUAAUGAAAAGUUUCUUGCCACACAGAGGCUGGAGACACAAGGUAAUGCCCUUUAAUUACCUACCCAUAAUAUACAAAAACAAAAGGUUUCUCACGUCAUUCUUUCAAUGUUUACUAAAAUAGAGACUUUGCUCUGCCAGACCUCUCCUUCACCAGCCAAAACUCACGCUGAAGGUUAACAGCUCCAAAAGUUAAUGAUUAUCUUUCCUUGUUUGCCCAGUGUUUCAGCAUUAAAACAUGUAAAUACGA